GUGGGUAAAGCAUGGUGGUCAUAGUGGGUAAAGCAUGGUGGUCAUAGUGGGUAAAGCAUGGUGGUCAUAGUGGAUAAAGCCUGGUGGUCAUAGUGGAUAAAGCCUGGUGGUCAUAGUGGGUAAAGCAUGGUGGUCAUAGUGGGUAAAGCAUGGUGGUCAUAGUGGGUAAAGCAUGGUGGUCAUAGUGGGUAAAGCAUGGUGGUCAUAGUGGAUAAAGCCUGGUGGUCAUAGUGGGUAAAGCAUGGUGGUCAUAGUGGGUAAAGCAUGGUGGUCAUAGUGGGUAAAGCAUGGUGGUCAUAGUGGAUAGUGGUCAGCUGUAUUAGACUAGUAGACCGUUAAACUACUAGAUAAACUAGUAAACUGUAAACUACUUCCAUGUCACUGCUGGUAAGACCCCAGAUAAGAUCAGACUAGCCUAAACUAGUAGGUAGUAGGUUAUUUUGCUUGUUAUCAGGGGGAGGUAGACUAGUAGAUAGUUGAUUAAAUAGCUAGUUAUCAGGGGCAGUAGACUAGUAGGUAGUAGGUUAGUUAGCUAGUUAUCAGGGCCAGUAGACUAGUAGAUAGUAGGUUAGUUAGCUAGUUAUCAGGGCCAGUAGACUAGUAGGUAGUAGGUUAGUUAGCUAGUUAUCAGGGCCAGUAGACUAGUAGAUAGUAGGUUAGUUAGCUAGUUAUCAGGGCC
ensembl:lncRNA